rnacentral:rRNA from 1 species
CAGCCGUAAACUAUGCGCGUUAGGUGUAUCGGUGACCACGAGUUACCGAGGUGCCGAAGGGAAACCGUGAAACGUGCCGCCUGGGAAGUACGGUCGCAAGGCUGAAACUUAAAGGAAUUGGCGGGGGAGCACCACAACAGGUGGAGCCUGCGGUUUAAUUGGACUCAACGCCGGGAAGCUCACCGGAUAGGACAGCAGAAUGAUAGUCGGGCUGAAGACUCUACUUGAUGAUCUGAGAGGUGGUGCAUGGCGUCAGUGACU